rnacentral:rRNA from 1 species
AGUGGACGCUGGCGGUAGGCCUAACACAUGCAAGUCGAACGGCAGCACAGUAAGAGCUUGUUCUUACGGGUGGCGAGUGGCGGACGGGUGAGGAAUACAUCGGAAUCUACUUUUUCGUGGGGGAUAACGUAGGGAAACUUACGCUAAUACCGCAUACGACCUACGGGUGAAAGCAGGGGAUCUUCGGACCUUGCGCGAUUGAAUGAGCCGAUGUCGGAUUAGCUAGUUGGCGGGGUAAAGGCCCACCAAGGCGACGAUCCGUAGCUGGUCUGAGAGGAUGAUCAGCCACACUGGAACUGAGACACGGUCCAGACUCCUACGGGAGGCAGCAGUGGGGAAUAUUGGACAAUGGGCGCAAGCCUGAUCCAGCCAUACCGCGUGGGUGAAGAAGGCCUUCGGGUUGUAAAGCCCUUUUGUUGGGAAAGAAAAGCAGCAGGUUAAUACCCCGCUGUUCUGACGGUACCCAAAGAAUAAGCACCGGCUAACUUCGUG